AACGAACGCUGGCGGCAUGCCUAACACAUGCAAGUCGAACGAAGCCUUCGGGCUUAGUGGCGCACGGGUGCGUAACGCGUGGGAAUCUGCCCUGGGGUGCGGAAUAACUCGGAGAAAUCCGUGCUAAUACCGCAUAAUGUCUUCGGACCAAAGAUUUAUUGCCCUGGGAUGAGCCCGCGUAGGAUUAGCUAGUUGGUGAGGUAAAGGCUCACCAAGGCGACGAUCCUUAGCUGGUCUGAGAGGAUGAUCAGCCACACUGGGACUGAGACACGGCCCAGACUCCUACGGGAGGCAGCAGUGGGGGAAUAUUGGACAAUGGGCGAAAGCCUGAUCCAGCAAUGCCGCGUGAGUGAUGAAGGCCUUAGGGUUGUAAAGCUCUUUUACCCGGGAUGAUAAUGACAGUACCGGGAGAAUAAGCUCCGGCUAACUCCGUGCCAGCAGCCGCGGUAAU
rnacentral:rRNA from 1 species